GAUGAAGAACGCAGCGAAAUGCGAUAAGUAAUGUGAAUUGCAGAAUUCAGUGAAUCAUCGAAUCUUUGAACGCACAUUGCGCCCGCGAGUAUUCUCGCGGGCAUGCCUGUCCGAGCGUCAUUUCAACCCUCAGGGCCCGCCUGCUUGCAGGCGCGGCGCUGGUGUUGGGGAUCGGCUACCCUGCCGUCCCCCAAAUACAGUGGCGGUCUCGCUGCAGCCUCCCCUGCGUAGUAGUAACACUCGCAUGCGGAGCGCGGCGCGGCCACGCCGUAAAACCCCCGACUUUCUGAACGUUGACCUCGGAUCAGGUAGGAAUACCCGCUGAACUUAAGCAUAUCAAUAAGCGGAGGA
rnacentral:misc_RNA from 1 species